rnacentral:lncRNA from 1 species
CCACUAGGUGAUCAAAAGUACGUCCCGUACUCCAAAAAUAUACAUGAGCAUCACUCAUGUCAAUCAUACAUAAACAUUCAUGAGCAUCACUCAUGUCAAUCAUACAUAAACAUUCAUGACCAUCAUUCAUGUCAACAUUCAUGUCAACAUUCAUGAGCAUCACUCAUGUCAACAUCCAUGACCAUCACUCAUGUCAAUCAACAUAAACAUUCAUGAGCACCACUCAUGUCAAUCAGCUUCAAAAGCUUCAUUUACAAAGCUCCAGCU